UCCCCCACCGGCUGCUCGCCAUACGGCAUCCCACCGGCCGCCCAGAAACUAUGCGCCGCCGGCUGCUCCUGCCUACCCCAGCGCGAGCCCGCCCCCUGAUUCCUCCGCCUCCCACCCAACCACCAGCGUUGCGCCUCCUCCCGCACACGACCACCAGCGCCCGGAUCCGGCCGCCAUGAGGCUCCUGCGCCGCCAAGAACCGGCUACCGCGCCGGAUCCGGUCUCCCCUGGCAACCACCUCCUGCUUCCCCAUCUAAAUCCAGCGCCUCGAUGACGCCCGCUGCCGGCCACCCCGCGUUGGCCCGCCGUCGGAUCGGCGAUUUGCCGACCCCUGGGCAUCGUCGGGCUCAAGGUCGCCGGUAGUGCAGCUAGGGUGCACCGGCAGUGUAGUCUGCUCCAUGGGCGUCACAGUCCACAUUAUGUGGUUGACGUCGGCGAGCUCGAGGAGACCCGGCUGAGAGGAGGAGGAGGAGCUUUACCACGUGCAGUCCAUAGGAGGAGAUCCGGCCGAGAGGAGAAGGACACAGGAUGUGCGGGUGUCAUGCAAUCCACUGGUGGUGCACGAGACCUUCUCCACCGACGGCCACCACCAACGCCAAGCUCCACCAUCCCUUCCCCUGCUGUGCCACUCUGCUGUGCGACGAGGAUCCCUCCGUGCACUGCGCCCACAUCAGUUCUCCCCCAAACGCAGUUCACCUCCCAUUCAUGGAUUCGUGGAUGGAACCAGGAGGCCACCUACCUUCCUCUACCGAGCUUCUCUGCAGCUAAGCAAUGGGAGAGCCUCCUAGAGAGGACUUGCUCUAGCCGUGGGAUCUCAACUCCUCCCUCUGUCAUGGAUCCAUGAUGGGGCAGCAUGGUAAUGCAGUUCGGCAUGCGCGCGUGUGUAGCACGCUUGUGGCGGUGAGGCAGCUCGUGUAGUGUCCUUCAGGUGGUGGAGCGUUGCCCUUUAGUUCAGAAAAAUAAUUGUUCAGAAUUUGUCGAUGAUGCAAUGCGGUGAGCAAUUCAAUUGUGUGUUUCCCAGAUUUUGACUUCAGCUUGGUUUGUGUGCAUAGUGCAGUUUGCUACUAUGGGUGGCUGGCAUCAACGUGCCUCCAGAAGCAGCUCUCUCCUCAACUCGUCGCAGUUCCCCGGCGGUGGGAGAGAAGUGCACUGCUCUAGGGUGCUCUCCUUUAUGGGGGCAGGUGGUCACCCGCUAUGGUGCAUCUCAGAAACGUAUGCCAGGGGGUUUGGUGCUUUGGCCAGGACGGUGACAAGUGCUUUGGCCAGCUCAAAAACUGCAGCGUGGCGUGCAGCUCAUCGCGACUCAAAUUGCAGCUCGGUAUGCCGGGGCUUGCAGUCCGCUCGCUUGGGCGCACCAUUUGUCGUGCAGAUUGGCGUGGUUGGUCUCCCACCUCUCCUACAGUCGUGCCGUCCGGCGACCAUAGUCGUGCAGUCUGCGACCGCGGCUGUGCAGCUCGGUCAAGCACGCAAUGAAGUUCCGUCGCGUGCUGUUCGACGAACACGAGUGCACUGCAGCUCCUGGAUGGUGAACUGCGGAAGGUGCAAUGCGGCUGGCGCACUCUUGAAGUACAGAUUUUUCUUUUUGUGCCUUUUCAUAUUGCUUUCGGGCACAAACAAUGCAGUUUGCCUGGGUCGUCUGUGCGGUGCGGCUAGGUGUCUAGUGCUUGUUUUUUUUCAGGUUCCAAAGACAUCUGUGGUUCGCUCUGAAAAAAAUUCACGUGGGACCACUUGUUUGUAGGAGCAGCUCACUUCAACCGUGUGUGGUUAUUAGAUUUUCCGGUAGAGGGAAUAUCUAUGCAGUUCAUUAUAACAAGCAAGUAGUUCCUUUUGUAAAGGAGCAAUUUGUAAGGCACACAUUUACUUCAGUAAAGUUUUGUCUGAUGCAGUUUGGAACA